rnacentral:rRNA from 1 species
CUACGGGUUGCUGCAGUGGGGAAUAUUGGACAAUGGGGGAAACCCUGAUCCAGCAAUGCCGCGUGUGUGAAGAAGGCCUGCGGGUUGUAAAGCACUUUCGGUUGGGAGGACUGCUUCUAGCACUAAUAUUGUUGGAAGUUGACGUUACCUUCAGAAGAAGCACCGGCUAACUCCGUGCCAGCAGCCGCGGUAAUACGGAGGGUGCAAGCGUGAAUCGGAAUUACUGGGCGUAAAGCGCGCGUAGGCGGCUAGAUAAGUCGGGUGUGAAAGCCCCGGGCUUAACCUGGGAACUGCAUCCGAUACUGUCUAGCUUGAGUACAGGAGAGGAGAGUGGAAUUCCACAUGUAGCGGUGAAAUGCGUAGAUAUGUGGAGGAACACCAAUGGCGAAGGCAGCUCUCUGGCCUGAUACUGACGCUGAGGUGCGAAAGCGUGGGGAGCAAACAGGAUUAGAUACCCCAGUAGUC